UACGAGGGGGGCGAGCGUUGUUCGGAAUUAUUGGGCGUAAAGGGCGCGUAGGCGGUGCGACGUGUCUCCUGUGAAAUCUCCAGGCUCAACUUGGAGUCUGCAGGAGAAACUGUCGUGCUUGAGUACUGGAGAGGUGAGUGGAAUUCCCGGCGUAGCGGUGAAAUGCGUAGAUAUCGGGAGGAACACCUGUGGCGAAAGCGGCUCACUGGACAGUAACUGACGCUGAUGCGCGAAAGCUAGGGGAGCAAACAGG
rnacentral:rRNA from 1 species